CGGGGCACAGUUUCACCUCCAUGGCGCCUGCCUCUCCUCUCUCACGCUCCUGAGCCUCCGGAGGGACAGUAAACACAGCCCCAGCUACAUGGGUUUCGGCGGCGCGGAGUUUCCCUGUCCUUCCCCGCGAAGCUGACACUUUCCCCAGCAACUUGUUGCCCUCCGCGCCCAAGAGAGAGCAAAGUGUGCAAUGCACAACUGCGGAGCGGCUGGACUCGGUCCAGAGGGUACUUCGCGCUCCUGCAUUUUCAUCCCGACUCCGUGUGAGAGUUGAGGGAGACGACAGAAGGAUUUGCCACCGUCUUGGGAAGUCAGCACGAGAACAGCCGUCAGCAGGCAACAAUGAACUGGAGAAGGUCUCGCUGUGGAUCCGGAUCCAACCUGUUGGAGGCAAAUAACCAUCCGCAUCAUGCCCGGCCGGGG